UACGGAGGGUGCGAGCGUUAAUCGGAAUAACUGGGCGUAAAGGGCACGCAGGCGGGUUUUUAAGUGAGAUGUGAAAUCCCCGGGCUUAACCUGGGAACAGCAUUUCAGACUGGGAGUCUAGAGUACUUUAGGGAGGGAGAGAAUUCCACGUGUAGCGGUGAAAUGCGUAGAGAUGUGGAGGAAUACCGAAGGCGAAGGCAGCCCCCUGGGAAUGUACUGACGCUCAUGUGCGAAAGCGUGGGGAGCGAACAGG
rnacentral:rRNA from 1 species